rnacentral:rRNA from 1 species
UACGUAGGGGACCAGCGUUGUCCGGAUUUACUGGGCGUAAAGAGCGCGCAGGCGGUCGUUCAAGUCGCGUGUGAAAGCCCCCGGCUCAACUGGGGAAGGUCAUUCGAUACUGUUCGGCUCGAAGAUAGGAGAGGGAAGCGGAAUUUCAGGUGUAGUGGUGAAAUGCGUAGAUAUCUGAAGGAACACCAGUGGCGAAGGCGGCUUUCUGGCCUAUUCUUGACGCUGAGGCGCGAAAGCUAGGGGAGCGAACGGG